CUCUUCUCAUUAAGUAAAUUAUUUAACAAUGGACAAGAAGUCGCUGUGUAUUUUUCUCGCAGCAAUAUUGGCUCUGUCGCAGAUUCUGAUUAUUUCAGCUGCCAGCAUUGAUGAUUCACACCGCGUAAGAGGUGCAUGCGAUCUGUUAUCGAGAAGAAACCGUCUGCAGGAUUGCAAGGAAUACUGCUUACGUUUAUUAUACGGAUACACCAAAGGCACAUGUAUUAGUAGCACCUGUUUUUGCAGUUGAUAUUAACACAUUUUUACAAUAGUUACAUCAAAUUUCUUAAUUUCAAUAGAGGAACGCAAAUAGAUUAUUAAAUAAAAUGAAACUAUUGUAUUUCACUACAUUAUUGUGUUUGUUUAUUAGUUCUUUAGAAAUGGCGAGUAUUGAGGAUCCCAUAAUCCGGAUGGACGUGGUUCCUUUUCAUCAAAAGGCUACAAAGAUGGAUUAUGCCUUCCAUCAAAUUGUAUUUGCAUUUAACUAACAUUUAUGUAAACAACCAGAAAACACUUUUUAGAAUAAUAUUUUAA